GUGCAAACAACUGGAUGGAAGUAGAAGACGAAAAGGAAAGCUUUGCAAAAAGGAAUAAACAAGCAAAACUGGCG
rnacentral:sRNA from 1 species